GGCCCACACAAGCGGUGGAGCAUGUGGUUUAAUUCGAUGAUACGCGAGGAACCUUACCAGGACUUAAAUGUAAGUUGCAUGAUUCAGAAAUGAAUCUUUCUUCGGACUACUUACAAGGUGCUGCAUGGUUGUCGUCAGCUCGUGCUGUGAGGUGUCGGGUUAAGUCCCAUAACGAGCGCAACCCCUAUCCUUAGUUGCCAGCGAGUAAAGUCGGGGACUCUAGGGAAACUGCCGGUGCAAACCGAGAGGAAGGUGGGGAUGACGUCAAAUCAUCACGGCCCUUACGUCCAGGGCUACACACGUGCUACAAUGGCGCAUACAAAGGGCAGCUACAUGGUGACAUGGUGCUAAUCUCUAAAGUGCGUCUCAGUUCGGA
rnacentral:rRNA from 1 species